AGGAAAGAUAAACAGGCCAGGAUCAAAGUAUGCAACUUGGAAAUUGUUGAAACAAUAAACGAACAUACACAUGAGCCAAUUCCAGGGAGGGUAGCAGCUAUUAAAUGUACAAAUGAACUGAAGCGCCGUGCUUGUAAUACUGCAGAAUCACCACAACGAAUAAUUUCUGAAGAACUGUCAAAGCUCGAUGAAGAUUCAGCCACGCAAAUCGCACCAGAGAGGACACUUCGAAGGGCCAUUCGCAGGCAUAAACAGAAGAAUGAUACUGGCCCCGCAAUACCACGUUCACGAGAUUUCCAAAUCCCACAAGUAUAUCAACAGUUGGAAAACGGCGAAACAUUUUUAUUACACGAUAGCGGUCGAACCAAUUCACUCCGAAUGCUGGUGUUUUGUUCGACGAGUGGUCUUGCUGCUUUAUCAGCGAAUGAACAUUGGUUCAUGGAUGGCACCUUUAAGACUGCACCCGAACACUUUAUGCAAAUAUACACUGUCCAUUCGUUCUCGGAUGGAAUUGUUACUCCAAGUGUGUUUGCCUUGCUGCCAGAUAAAUAACAACAAACUUACACGGCACUUUUCCGCAUCCUGCAAAUCGCAUCCGGAAACAACCUCAAUCCAAAAUCAGUCCUAGUCGACUUUGAAAAAGCAAGCAUAAAUGCGUUGGAAGAAGUAUUUACGGCGUCACAAAUUCAAGGCUGUUUAUUUCACUUAAGUCAAAGUGUUUUUCGAAAAAUCCAGCAAUUAGGGUUGCAACAGUUAUAUCGAUCGAACUCGGAAAUCUCGUUAAAAGUAAAAAUGUUGACAGCACUGUCUUUUGUCCCGGAACGUGAUAUGGCAGAAGCCUUAAGUGCGGUAUUGAAUAAUUUUCCUCCAGAGCUGGCGUCACUUGGAGAAUAUUUUGAAGAGACGUAUAUUGGGCGGGCAAUUCCAAAUGGUCGUCGACAGCCCAUUUUUCCUAUAUCUUUGUGGAACACUCUUGCUCGAGUUCGCAACAAUUUGCCGCGAACUAACAAUCAUUUGGAGGGAUGGCAUAGAAGAAUGGCCUCCAAUGUGGAUUGUUACCACCUAAACAUUUGGAAAUUAAUCAAUAUAUUUAAAAAAGAAGACAGAUUGGCUUCGAUUGUUCGGACACAACACAUGUCUGGGGCUGAUGGUGCCCCAAGAAGAAAAAAAUAUAAAGAUUUGGACGCCCGCAUACAAAAUCUGGUGACCAACUAUGACCCACGCUCUGUGCUAUCAUUUCUAAGGGGAAUUGCACAUAAUCUGCAUACCUGAUUUCGCAUUAAAAUUGUUGUUUCGUUGUUAUUAAUAAACACACCUUCUUUUCA